rnacentral:rRNA from 1 species
GAUGGACGCUGGCGGCGUGCCUAAUACAUGCAAGUCGAGCGAACGGACGAGAAGCUUGCUUCUCUGAUGUUAGCGGCGGACGGGUGAGUAACACGUGGAUAACCUACCUAUAAGACUGGGCUAACUUCGGGAAACCGUAGCUAAUACCGGAUAAUAUUUUGAACCGCAUGGUUCAAAAGUGAAAGACGGUCUUGCUGUCACUUAUAGAUGGAUCCGCGCUGCAUUAGCUUGUUGGUAAGGUAACGGCUUACCAAGGCAACGAUGCAUAGCCGACCUGAGAGGGUGAUCGGCCACACUGGAACUGAGACACGGUCCAGACUCCUACGGGAGGCAGCAGUAGGGAAUCUUCCGCAAAGGGCGAAAGCCUGACGGAGCAACGCCGCGUGAGUGAUGAAGGUCUUCGGAUCGUAAAACUCUGUUAUUAGGGAAGAACAUAUGUGUAAGUAACUGUGCACAUCUUGACGGUACCUAAUCAGAAAGCCACGGCUAACUACGUG